rnacentral:rRNA from 1 species
GUAGGUGGUAAGCGUUGUCCGGAAUUAUUGGGCGUAAAGCGCGCGCAGGUGGUUCUUUAAGUCUGAUGUGAAAGCCCCCGGGCUCAACCGGGGAGGGUCAUUGGAAACUGGGGAACUUGAGUGCAGGAGAGGAAAGUGGAAUUCCACGUGUAGCGGUGAAAUGCGUAGAUAUGUGGAGGAACACCAGUGGCGAAGGCGACUUUCUGGCCUGUAACUGACACUGAGGCGCGAAAGCGUGGGGAGCAAACAGGAUUAGAUACCCUGGUAGUCCACGCCGUAAACGAUGAGUGCUAAGUGUUGGGGGGUUUCCGCCCCUCAGUGCUGCAGCUAACGCAUUAAGCACUCCGCCUGGGGAGUACGGUCGCAAAGACUG